GAAUUACAUUUGUGUCAAAUUAAACGCACGCAACUUUUGCAAAAACAAACAAAAAUAUACAUUGAUAAAAGAAAAAAACUAUCUGAAAAUAAAAACAAUCAACUAACUAGCAAAAACAUUAACAUCAUCUUUAAAUAUACUGCAUUCUUUGUUUAUAGUUUUCUAAGUUUCACUUUCACUAAAUAUAGUUUUGAAUGUGCUGCAAAUGUUUUCGUUUUCACUUUCCAAGUUUUCGUUUGCGCUUCGCAAAUUUACGUUCUCCAUUUUGACACAAACCUCUCGUGAGGGGCGGGCUUAACAGCGGUUCGCUCUUAUUGGCUUGUGAGAUUUUGAUUGACAGCUCAUUGAACCGGAACCCCGGAACAGAAGGUGGCGGUAGUGCGCCAAUAAGCUGGAUCCCAACCACUGUUAAAAAUAACAAGAAGAAGACGAUCGGACGCUGUUUAUCAGCGGAGCUGCAAGUAGUCUAAACAAACGGUAAUAAGAGUAUAUUUAUUUAAUGAUAAAACACGGAUAUUUUACACGUCAGCAGAGGAAUAACAAUAGUUCAAGAUGAGUAAUCGGGAGGCUCACGGUCUGGAGCAACAACACCAUCCUCCUCGGCCGGACAAUCGAGGCAACCUUACCUGAGACGGCGAAACUCAGGACGAGGCAGCACUUUCUGUCCCAUGCAGUGGUUGACAGGCACCUGCUUCUGUCAGAGAAAAACGCCUUCAAAAUAACUGAUAAUAACUUUGAUCACACAUGCAUGCAUCGAAGGCCAAGCAAAUGAAUUUAAAGAAAGAAUGGAAACAGCAGUGCAACAUAAUGCUUACUUUUACAGAGUGUCAGUUGAAAUGAACUCAAAUGUCUAGACAAAAUGUUUCUCCCAAUAGUAAUGUCUUUUUUAUCAUUUAUAGAUGCUGUUUAACAGUUGUUAAUGAUUUUACAUGCAUCUGAAUGGUUUACAGAGUCUUAAAGGGAUAGUUCACACAAAAAUGAAAAUUCUGUUAUUAUUUACUCAGUCUCAUGUUGUUGUAAACCUAUUUAAGUUUCUUUAUUCUGCUGAGAAGAUAUUUUGAUAAAUGAUGGUAAGCACACAUGAGAGUGUACCCAUUGACGUCUAAAGUACAAAUUAAAUCUAAGGAGGAAAAUGGAGGACAGUCAAUUUUCUAUGUCAUGUGAUGUUUAAACACACAAAAGUUUCUAAUCUAAUCAUCCAUAUGCCGAUAUAUAACAUGCAUAACGUCUUGCAUUGCAUUUGUCCUUCAUGUUUAGCUGCGUUGACUCUCAGAUAUGUAAAGCACAGGCUGACAGAUGUAGUGAGAAGGCAUGAUAUAUAAAGAUAAAUUACCAGCACAACGCUAUAAAGUGUUGCCAUGAAUAACCCUGCAGAUGCAUAUGAAUCUGGACACAAUAAGAGGGGAAGCCCAGCAGUCAGAGAUGUGUCUCCAUUGUGAUUACAGGUGGGAAAUAGUUUUAAAGGAAAGGUACAUCUGUGAACCAGCUUUUGUAUCUUGUAAACCUGAAAAUGACUUUUACAAUUUAAAUGGAGCACAGUCUUUGGAUGACAUCAAGUGUCUGUUGGUAUAACUCCUAGACAUUCAAUGGUGAUAUCAAAGGCUUUUGGUCUGACAAAGGACAAUAGAUCUCUGGCACCACGACCACACCAUCAUCCUCUGUGACAUUGUCAACAAUUUCCUCUUAAAAAAGUUGCUCCACCAU